rnacentral:rRNA from 1 species
ACGCUGGCGGCGUGCCUAAUACAUGCAAGUCGAACGGUCUUUCUAUGGAAGCUUGCUUCCACUGAGAAGAUAGUGGCGAACGGGUGAGUAACACGUGGGUAACCUGCCCAUAAGAGGGGGAUAACAUCCGGAAACGGGUGCUAAUACCGCAUAGUUUUCUUGAUUGCAUGAUUGAGAAAGGAAAGACGGCCUUUGUGCUGUCGCUUAUGGAUGGACCCGCGGCGUAUUAGUUAGUUGGUGAGGUAACGGCUCACCAAGACGAUGAUACGUAGCCGACCUGAGAGGGUGAUCGGCCACAUUGGGACUGAGACACGGCCCAAACUCCUACGGGAGGCAGCAGUAGGGAAUCUUCCGCAGUGGACGAAAGUCUGACGGAGCAACGCCGCGUGAGUGAAGAAAGGUUUUCGGAUCGUAAAACUCUGUUGUCAGAGAAGAACAAGUUGGAGAGUAACUGCUCCAGCCUUGACGGUAUCUGACCAGAAAGCCACGGCUAACUACGUGCCAGCCGCAGC